rnacentral:misc_RNA from 1 species
GGGGUUCAUAGUUUUCCAACAAUAAUGGUCGUCAGCCGGACAACAAUGGUACGGUAUCAUGGUCCUAAAGAUUUGAAGUCCCUCGUCCGUUUCUACAAGCAGACAACAGGCCUUUACCCUUUGUUGCAUCUUGAAGUUGAUGAACCCAGCAGCUCAGGGAACUCAAGGUCCCUCUGGCCAUGGGACAGAUCCCUUGGGGAGAUAGUAGCAACUGAGCCAUAUCUUUCGUUCAGCGUACUCUUUAUCUGUUUGAAGCUGAUCAUGCGGUUUCUCCCUAAGAUGAUUUCCGGCCUCAAAGCUUUAUGGAUUUG